GUGGGGAAUAUUGGACAAUGGGCGAAAGCCUGAUCCAGCAAUGCCGCGUGAGUGAUGAAGGCCUUAGGGUUGUAAAGCUCUUUUACCCGGGAUGAUAAUGACAGUACCGGGAGAAUAAGCUCCGGCUAACUCCGUGCCAGCAGCCGCGGUAAUACGGAGGGAGCUAGCGUUGUUCGGAAUUACUGGGCGUAAAGCGCACGUAGGCGGCUUUGUAAGUUAGAGGUGAAAGCCUAGAGCUUAACUCCAGAACUGCCUUUAAGACUGCAUCGCUUGAAUCCAGGAGAGGUGAGUGGAAUUCCGAGUGUAGAGGUGAAAUUCGUAGAUAUUCGGAAGAACACCAGUGGCGAAGGCGGCUCACUGGACUGGUAUUGACGCUGAGGUGCGAAAGCGUGGGGAGCAAACAGGAUUAGAUACCCCUGUAGUCC
rnacentral:rRNA from 1 species